ensembl:snRNA U1 U1 spliceosomal RNA
GUACUUACCUGGCAGGGGAGAUACCAUGAUCACGAAGGUGGUUUUCCCAGGGCGAGGCUUAUCCAUUGCACUCCGGAUGUGCUGACCCCUGCGAUUUCCCCAAAUGUGGGAAACUCGACUGCAUAAUUUGUGGUAGUGGGGGACUGCGUUCNNN